UACGAAGGGGGCUAGCGUUGCUCGGAAUCACUGGGCGUAAAGGGCGCGUAGGCGGCGUUUUAAGUCGGGGGUGAAAGCCUGUGGCUCAACCACAGAAUGGCCUCGAUACUGGGACGCUUGAGUAUGGUAGAGGUUGGUGGAACUGCGAGUGUAGAGGUGAAAUUUGUAGAUAUUCGCAAGAACACCGGUGGCGAAGGCGGCCAACUGGACCAUUACUGACGCUGAGGCGCGAAAGCGUGGGGAGCAAACAGG
rnacentral:rRNA from 1 species